rnacentral:rRNA from 1 species
AGUGAACGCUGGCGGUAGGCCUAACACAUGCAAGUCGAACGGCAGCACAGUAAGAGCUUGCUCUUACGGGUGGCGAGUGGCGGACGGGUGAGGAAUACAUCGGAAUCUACUUUUUCGUGGGGGAUAACGUAGGGAAACUUACGCUAAUACCGCAUACGACCUACGGGUGAAAGCAGGGGAUCUUCGGACCUUGCGCGAUUGAAUGAGCCGAUGUCGGAUUAGCUAGUUGGCGGGGUAAGGCCCACCGAGGCGACGAUCCGUAGCUGGUCUGAGAGGAUGAUCAGCCACACUGGAACUGAGACACGGUCCAGACUCCUACGGGAGGCAGCAGUGGGGAAUAUUGGACAAUGGGCGCAAGCCUGAUCCAGCCAUACCGCGUGGGUGAAGAAGGCCUUCGGGUUGUAAAGCCCUUUUGUUGGGAAAGAAAAGCAGCAGGUUAAUACCCCGCUGUUCUGACGGUACCCAAAGAAUAAGCACCGGCUAACUUCGUG